rnacentral:rRNA from 1 species
UACGGGGGGGGCAAGCGUUGUUCGGAAUUACUGGGCGUAAAGGGCUCGUAGGCGGCCAACUAAGUCGGAUGUGAAAUCCCCAGGCUCAACUUGGGAACUGCAUCCGAUACUGGAUGGCUUGAAUUCGGGAGAGGGAUGCAGAAUUCCAGGUGUAGCGGUGAAAUGCGUAGAUAUCUGGAGGAACACCGGUGGCGAAGGCGGCAUCCUGGACCGAGACUGACGCUGAGGAGCGAAAGCCAGGGGAGCAAACGGG